UCUGCAACUGCAGCUGGAGUCAAACACUGCUCAGACAGAGAGAGAAGUGAUGCUGGGUCUUCUUUGGGUCUGACACCCCAAACUGAAUGUGCAGUUUCUCAGCCUGAGUGUUGCUCUCUUUUUCAAAGCUGGGAGAUCCAGAAGCAGAGGCAGGAGUUCUUCCAGGCUGAUCAAGUCCAGAUCACCAAGGACACCAUUGCAGCUUUAGGCUCAAGGAAUACAAACAACAGUGAACUGAGGAGAGCAAACUGGGAGGAAGGGACUGCAUCACCUGGAGCUGGAAUUGGACAAUUAACCCAAAUUUGUAAAUGGACCAAAACUUAUAAAAGUAUGAAAACUCA